UCCGAUCAUCAAUCUUCUUUAAAAAAAACCCUUCUGCGUAUAAAUUCCACACCAUCUUCCACUUAAUCUCAGUAAGAAAAACCUCCCCAUAAUCCCAAGAAAUAUCUUCUAUCACAAACCAUAGAGAGAAGUCAAGAAAAAAAACGAGGCAGCCAGGGUUUAAUCGACGGAGACAAAGAUGGUGACUUGACGAUCUUUCCAGCGGAGUUUUGGCGAGCGGGGUAUAGGGCUCGAAAGCCCUCUGUAUAAGCUUCGUUUUGGUGGAAGUUUCCGGCUUGUUUCUCCGGUGGUGAUAAUUGUGAUCCGACGGCGAAGUUCAGCUGAUCCUAAAACCUUUCGGAUUUAAUUAGAGGUUUUGAGAUCGAGGAACCGUGAUCGACGAGUACUCUUGAUUGGACCAAGGUGAGGGUUCUCUUGCUUGACCUCUUCUGGGAAUAUGAUAAACUCGGGUAAUUGUAUCGCUCUCGAGUACUUGAAUUUUGCUCCCUUUCAUUGAAUUGAUCUACUCGUUGUCAUUUGAUUAUCGUUAUUUGAAAUUGAUUGGAUGAUGUUGAGCUUGAGAUUAUUUGAGAAAUGCUAUCGUAUCGAGUGUUUAACUCUU